AGGCGGGACACUGUAUCUCAGGGUUAUUUCAUAAUUAUUUAUCUGAUUAAAGUAGCAUGAUGCCAAUUCGUAUCUCGUGUUUUAAGAAAUAAUGGUGAUAUGCUGACGUUUGUUGACCGGUCUUAGCUGGGGUAACAUUAGCAACUGCGAGCUCGUCAGACUACGAAGAACUGUAAACAAUACCUAACUACAAAAUCCUGGUACAGAAUGACCUAGCUCGAAAGUGAGAAAGUGGGAACGAGGCUACGAGACUUAGAGCUAGAUCUAACACUCAACUUAGCAUGGGCGAUGAAAAAUGAAGGAGUAUGAAAUUACAAUCCUUAGCUGGUUACGAUGCUUGUCGGCAGGUUUCUAUCGACUCGUAAUUUGACACAAGGGGCCUAAGAUGUCUUUGUCAACAAAUUUGGGU